rnacentral:rRNA from 1 species
UUGCGGUUAAAAAGCUCGUAGUUGGAUUUCUGUUGAGGAUGACCGGUCCGCUCUUUGAGCGCGUAUCUGGUUCAGCCUUGGCAUCCUCUUGGGGAACGCUACUGUGCUUGAUUGCAUGGGGCGGUAUUCAAGACUUUUACUUUGAGGAAAUUAGAGUGUUCACUGCAAGCGUUAGCAAUUGAAUACAUUAGCAUGGAAUAAUAAUAUAGGACCUUGGUACUAUUUUGUUGGUUUCUAGAACUAAGGUAAUGAUUAAUAGGGACAAUUGGGGGCAUUCGUAUUAACGCGUCAGAGGUGGAAUUCUUAGAUUGCGUUACGACGAACUACUGCGAAAGCAUUUGCCAAGCAUGUUUUCAUUGAUCAAGAACGAAAGUAUGGGGAUCGAAGACCGCUUAGAUACCGUCGUAAUCUAUACCAUAAACUAUGCCAACUAGAGAUUGGAGGUCGUUUUCUUUAUGACUCCUU